UCUCCGUAGGUGAACCUGCGGAGGGAUCAUUACCGAGUGAGGGCCCCCGGCCCGACCUCCAACCCUUUGUGUUUCUGACUGUGUUGCCUCGGGGGCGACCCGGCCUUCGGGCGUCGGGGCCCCCGGUGGACCACCCAACCCUGCAUCGUUGCGUCUGAGUCGAAAUAUAAAUCAAUCAAAACUUUCAACAACGGAUCUCUUGGUUCUGGCAUCGAUGAAGAACGCAGC
rnacentral:misc_RNA from 1 species